GGGGAUAUAGCUCAGUUGGUAGAGUGUUUUCCUUGAACUCAUAAGACCCUGGGUUCAAUCCCCAGCACCUUCC
rnacentral:tRNA from 1 species